CUAUCCCUAUCCUCGCUCUUUCCCCGCGACCCCCUUCCUCCAGUCAGCCGCCGGCCGCCGGCGACAUGGAAUCGACGGAUUUGGAGAGCAAUGCAAUGGUGGAAGCAGAUAUCCAAGUCAUUCAUGUCAUCCUCGUGGCCGUACUCGUGCUCCUUUUCCUUUCCUCCGCCGGCGUAUGCAUCCAUUCAUGGUCGUAGCUCCUCACCUUCCCAACCUCCGGCGGCGGCUGAUGCCUUGUUGCGGAGGAUUGAUGGAGCCCAAGGGUGAGCGGGUUCAGCAAUCAUGUGGAUGCGCUCAGUCUCCGGAAUGCCACGCUGCUCAACCGCGCUCUUUGUUGCUCGUGGCCCCGUGCUCGGCGGUCAGACCACGUUCAGUGUCUCCGACCCCGCCGCGCCGCCGUUUGGGACAAUCCCAUGCAGCUCCUCCAUGAGCGGAGGUGGUGCUUGCCUCCCAGCAUUUCAUAUUUGUGUUGGUGCCAACGAUCAGUUACUUACAGCAGAUUGGUACAAAGAACACGGUAUUGAGCUUAUUCUCGGACCGAAGGUAAUUUCUGCUGAUGUGCGCCAGAACCCAGAAGACAUUGCUUACUUCCAUAGGGGAAGUUAUCAGCUAUACAACUCUUAUUGUUGCAACAGGAAAUCGAUUUAGAACAUGUUAUUUUGCCUGUUUAAAAUGUAGGCCUUGAAGCUUGAAGAAUUUGGAGGUAGUGGCUCAAAUGCUGAGAACGUCUGUUAUCUGCGCGAUAUUGUGGAUGCAGAUAAAUUAGUCAGUGUAAUGAGAUCAUUUCCUGGAGGCAAUGCUAUUGUCAUUGGUGGUGGAUACAUAGGAAUGGAAUGUGCGGCUGCUUUGGUUGCCAACAAGAUAAAGGUUACCAUAGUCUUCCCUGGAAAACACUGCAGUAAGUAGAUUUAUGCUAUUAUUUGAUGAACAUCUGAAGUCUGAAUACUAUGACUCUUAUAUACACAUCAGUGAUUAGCAUCAUAUACACACAAUCUCAUUUUUCUCACCGGUGUUUAAAUGCCAAAAUAUGUGUGUUGAUUUUUCAUUUUUAGCGGGUCGUCUGUUUACACCAAAAAUUGCUGAAUUUUAUGAGAACUGCAGUUUCAAAAAAUCUAUACUUCAAAAGGAGUUACUUUUAUCAAAGGAAUUGCAGUUUCAUCUCUGGAGAUCUCAUCUGGGAAGCUUUUCACUAGAAAUCGAAGUUUCAAGCAGCUUAUUUGUGCUAAUCAAAUGAAUCAGUACCAACUACCAUCAACACUGCUCUGCUAUAUCUGAAAGUCUGAAGGUGUACUUCCAAUCUGAUUAUCUGAAUUUUCAGCAGUACUUUUUGCGGGCAUGCACAUGGCUUGUCUCCGAUCUCAACAUGAAGCUGGAUAACAAACCAGAGAAUUUCAA